rnacentral:rRNA from 1 species
CAGCAGCCGCGGUAAUAUGUAGGGGGCGAGCGUUAUCCGGAUUCAUUGGGCGUAAAACGCGCGUAGGCGGCCCGGCAGGCCGGGGGUAGAAGCGGGGGGCUCAACCCCCCGAAGCCCCCGGAACCUCCGCGGCUUGGGUCCGGUAGGGGAGGGUGGAACACCCGGUGUAGCGGUGGAAUGCGCAGAUAUCGGGUGGAACACCGGUGGCGAAGGCGGCCCUCUGGGCCGAGACCGACGCUGAGGCGCGAAAGCUGGGGGAGCGAACAGGAUUAGAUACCCUGGUAGUCCCAGCCGUAAACGAUGGACGCUUAGGUGUGGGGGGACGAUCCCCCCGUGCCGCAGCCAACGCAUUAAGCGUCCCGCCUGGGGAGUACGGCCGCAAGGCUAAAACUCAAAGGAAUUGACGGGGGCCCGCACAAGCAGCGGAGCAUGUGGCUUAAUUCGAAGCAACGCGAAGAACCUUACCAGGGCUUGACAUAUGGGUGAAGCGGGGGAGACCCCGUGGCCGAGAGGAGCCCAUACAGGUGGUGCAUGGCUGUCGUCAGCUCGUGUCGUGAGAUGUUGGGUUAAGUCCCGCAACGAGCGCAACCCCCGCCGCGUGUUGCCAUCGGGUGAUGCCGGGAACCCACGCGGGACCGCCGCCGUCAAGGCGGAGGAGGGCGGGGACGACGUCAAGUCAUCAUGCCCCUUAUGCCCUGGGCUGCACACGUGCUACAAUGGCCGGUACAGAGGGAUGCCACCCCGCGAGGGGGAGCGGAUCCCGGAAAGCCGGCCCCAGUUCGGAUUGGGGGCUGCAACCCGCCCCCAUGAAGUCGGAGUUGCUAGUAAUCGCGGAUCAGCAUGCCGCGGUGAAUGCGUUCCCGGGCCUUGCACA